UUGGACGUCGGAGCUAGCUCUUACGGGUGCGUAGCGCGAGGGAACCUGCCUUUAUGUUCGGAAGACCUCAAAUAAAUUUGAGCUAAUACCGGAUAAUGUCUUCAGACCAAACAUUUAUCGCCUUUAAAUGGGCCCGCGUUAGAUUACAUACUUGUGGGGGUAACGGCCUACCAUGUCGACGAUCUAGAGCUGGUCUGAGAGGAUGAUCAGCCACCCUGGGACUGAGACACGGCCCAGACUCCUACGGGGGCAGCAAUGGGGAAUAUUGGACAAUGGGCGAAAGCCUGAUCCAACAAUGCCGCGUGAGCGAUGAAGGCCUUAGGGUUGUAAAGCUCUUUUACUAAGGAUGAUAAUGAGAGUACCUAUAGAAUAAGCUCCGGCUAACUCCGUGCCAGCAGCCGCGGUAAUACGGAGGGAGCUAGCGCUGUUCGGAAUUACUGGGCGUGAAGCGCGCGUAGGCGGCUUAUCAGGUCAGGGGUGAAAUCCCGGAGCUCGACUCCGGAACUGCCCUUGAAACUGGUUGGCUACAAUAUUGGAGAGGUAAGUGGAAUUCCUAGUGUAGAGGUGAAAUUCGUACAUAUUCAGAAGAACACCAGUGGCGAAAGCGACUUACUGGACAAUUAUUGACGCUGAGGUGCGAAAGCGUGGGG
rnacentral:rRNA from 1 species